rnacentral:rRNA from 1 species
AUUGAACGCUGGCGGCGUGCCUUACACAUGCAAGUCGAACGUGAAAGUACCUUCGGGUAUGAGUAAAGUGGCGCACGGGUGAGUAACGCGUGGAUAAUCUACCGGGAAGUUCGGAAUAACAGCUGGAAACGGUUGCUAAUACCGGAUACACUACAUAUAAACGUAUGUGGGAAAGACGGCCUCUGCAUAUGCUGUUGCUUUCCGAUGAGUCCGCGUACCAUUAGCUAGUUGGUGGGGUAAAGGCCUACCAAGGCGACGAUGGUUAACUGGUCUGAGAGGAUGAUCAGUCACACUGGAACUGGAACACGGUCCAGACUCCUACGGGAGGCAGCAGUGGGGAAUAUUGCGCAAUGGGCGAAAGCCUGACGCAGCGACGCCGCGUGAGGGAUGAAGGUCUUCGGAUCGUAAACCUCUGUCAGCAGGGAAGAACGGUCACUGUGCUAAUCAGCAGUGAAUUGACGGUACCUGCAAAGGAAGCACCGGCUAACUCCGUGCCAGCAGCCGCGGUAAUACGGAGGGUGCGAGCGUUAAUCGGAAUUACUGGGCGUAAAGCGCUCGUAGGCGGUAUGUCAAGUCAAGGGUGAAAUCCCCGCGCUCAACGUGGGAACUGCCUUUGAAACUGGCAAACUGGAGUGUGUGAGAGGAUAGUGGAAUUCCAGGUGUAGGAGUGAAAUCCGUAGAUAUCUGGAGGAACAUCAGUGGCGAAGGCGACUAUCUGGCACAUAACUGACGCUGAGGAGCGAAAGCGUGGGUAGCAAACAGGAUUAGAUACCCUGGUAGUCCACGCUGUAAACGAUGGAUACUAGGUGCAGGGGAGUAUUUUUCUGUGCCGUAGCUAACGCGUUAAGUAUCCCGCCUGGGGAGUACGGUCGCAAGGCUGAAACUCAAAGAAAUUGACGGGGGCCCGCACAAGCGGUGGAGUAUGUGGUUUAAUUCGAUGCAACGCGAAGAACCUUACCCAGGCUUGACAUCUAGGGAACCUAACAGAGAUGUUGGGGUGCUCUUCGGAGAACCCUAAGACAGGUGCUGCAUGGCUGUCGUCAGCUCGUGCCGUGAGGUGUUGGGUUAAGUCCCGCAACGAGCGCAACCCCUGUCCUUAGUUGCCAGCAGGUGAAGCUGGGCACUCUAGGGAGACCGCUUCGGUUAACGGAGAGGAAGGUGGGGACGACGUCAAGUCAUCAUGGCCCUUACGCCUGGGGCUACACACGUACUACAAUGGUGCAUACAAAGGGUUGCGAAACCGCGAGGUCAGGCUAAUCCCAAAAAAUGCAUCUCAGUUCGGAUUGGAGUCUGCAACUCGACUCCAUGAAGUCGGAAUCGCUAGUAAUUCCAGAUCAGCAUGCUGGGGUGAAUGCGUUCCCGGGCCUUGUACACACCGCCCGUCACACCACGAAAGUUGGUUUUACCCGAAGCCGAUGAGCUAACAGCAAUGAGGCAAUCGUCUACGGUAGGCCCGAUGAUUGGGGUGAAGUCGUAACAAGGUAGCCGUAGGGGAACCUGCGGCUGGAUCACCUCCUUUAAGAGCAUUCCAUUCGUUCUUCAAUUACGAUACGCAAGGGUAUCUUUGCGGAUUGUAUGAAACCUUACAGAACAGACCACACGUGAAAGCUGUAGGGUGCUUUAGCAAGGGCAAGUUAUUUUGUCAUUCAAGAUAAUUUGCAGGUUAAGGCAAGCUUUUGCGAAGCUGUUUUUGUUUUAGACAAGGAAGUUGAGUUUAUCUCGAGGGAGUGUAUCAAGACAUACAUGACCGAGAGAGAAACGAGACUGACGCGGUAUAAGACAAAAAAAAGCGAGCAAAAAAGGGCCUGUAGCUCAGGUGGUUAGAGCGCACGCCUGAUAAGCGUGAGGUCGAAAGUUCAAGUCUUUCCAGGCCCACCACAAAUCGGGGGCGUAGCUCAGCUGGGAGAGCAUCUGCUUUGCACGCAGAGGGUCGGGGGUUCGAUUCCCUUCGCCUCCACCAUUGAAACAAGUUUGGCAGAAGGAAUAAGUUGCCUUAUUAUUUUUAUCCGAAUUUGUUUCGGCAGUAACGCAAGUUACGGUUCUUUGACAAUUGAACAGAAAAAGAAGAAGACAAGUUUUUUUGAGACAAGUUAUUAAGAGCAACGGGCGGAUGCCUUGGCGCUGGAAGGCGAUGAAAGACGUGAUAAGCUGCGAUAAGCGUCGGUGAGGAGCUAAAUAUCCAUUGACCCGGCGAUUUCUGAAUGGGGAAACCCAGCCGGAGUAAUGUCCGGCUGCCGCAACAUGAAUGAAUAGUGUUGCAGGAGCUAACCUAGGGAAGUGAAACAUCUCAGUACCUAGAGGAAAAGAAAUCAAACGAGACUCCCAAAGUAGCGGCGAGCGAAAUGGGAAGAGGCCAAACCUGUAGGAUUCGUCCUAUGGGGGUUGUAGGGCUGACAGACGCAAUCUUUGAGUAGGUAGAAGAAGCUGGCUGGAAAGCCACACCAUAGGGGGUGAAAGUCCCGUAUUUGAAGCCGAAAGGGGUGCAGUCAGUCCCUGAGUACUGCGAGGCACGUGAAACCUCGUGGGAAUCAAGGAGGACCAUCUUCUAAGCCUAAGUACUAACCAGCGACCGAUAGUGAACC